CGCCCUACGGGACGCAGCAGUAGGGAAUCUUCCACAAUGGACGAAAGUCUGAUGGAGCAACGCCGCGUGAGUGAAGAAGGGUUUCGGCUCGUAAAGCUCUGUUGGUAGGGAAGAAAGAUAGAGGUAGUAACUGGCCUUUAUUUGACGGUAAUUACUUAGAAAGUCACGGCUAACUACGUGCCAGCAGCCGCGGGAAUACGUAGGUGGGAAGCGUUGUCCGGAUUUAUUGGGCGUUAAGCGAGUGCAGGCGGUUCCAU
rnacentral:rRNA from 1 species